CACCGCCCGUCACACCAUGGGAGUUGGUUUUACCCGAAGACCGGUGCGCUAACCAGCAAUGGAGGCAGCCGGCCACGGUGAGAUCAGCGACUGGGGUG
rnacentral:rRNA from 1 species